UGAUCUUAUUGGAGAGUAGCGCGCGCCUCAUGCCUCUCUUUCUUGGCUUCCGCUCUGCGUUUUCAGUCACAUUCACCACUUGAUGUGUGUCGGCACUGAACAGAAACUUUAACUAAAUUACAGGUUACAGCUUCUUGCUCCGUGAACUGUCAAGGAUGGAAGAGUAUUUGCAGUACACGAAGAUCUUGCGCUUACAAAUGAACGACGUGGAGGAUCAAGCUUUGAAGAACUCUGUCGAAGAGCAUAUGUAAUUUCGUACUACUCAAACUGUGGAGAUUUCACUUCUGGUUAAACUUGAAACGGCUAAGCGAGCCAGUGAAACGGAAGCAUCAGCUGAUACGGUUGAAGGUAGUUCUUGACCACCUAUCCCCCUAUUCUCUACAAUAUGUCUAAUGGUUUUCUUCAAAAUAGUUCUGCUUAUAAGUAGUUUUGCACAGUUCAGAUUGAGAAUGGAUGAUCGAGUAAGGCUCGUGAGAUAUAUGCAGUCCUAGGCCACAAAUUCCAUUUUUUCGAGUCAGUACAAUAAAGCAUAUUUUGAUUCUUACAUUGGUAGUUGGUUUCACCCUAUAGGAGCAGCACCUUGAACUCUAUACACCUAAAUGUUCCGUAAUGUCAUCCUUGUUCCCACCUUCCGACUUAGCAAGCCUUGUCACUGUCGAACUGACAUUCUCUGCUGCCCAUCUGUAGACGAUGUGUGAUUCAUAAUCUGUAUCUGCUGCUGUAUCUUGCCAUGGAUAAUACAGCUCACUUCCACUAUUGCACACCAACGUAUCAAAUUCUUGUAAGCCUAGUUGACAGCCUUUGGGAGCCUAUUGAAUGGUGCAGCUAAGGGAACCGUGGAUCCAGGCAUAUUAGGGGAAGGGAGCCAGAUGCCAAAACCGCCGCACAUGUUCUCCAGUCUAUUACUGCGUUUACGUUUAUUCCUAGUUGCAAUCACCUUGAUUUAACAGGAAGGAUACAUUUUGACGCUUGGCUUAGGAAGUUUCAUCAUUCACCCAAGGGAACCGUGGAUCCAGGCAUAUUAGGGGAAGGGAGCCAGAUGCCAAAACCGCCGCACAUGUUCUCCAGUCUAUUACUGCGUUUACGUUUAUUCCUAGUUGCAAUCACCUUGAUUUAACAGGAAGGAUACAUUUUGACGCUUGGCUUAGGAAGUUUCAUCAUUCACCCAAGGGAACCGUGGAUCCAGGCAUAUUAGGGGAAGGGAGCCAGAUGCCAAAACCGCCGCACAUGUUCUCCAGUCUAUUACUGCGUUUACGUUUAUUCCUAGUUGCAAUCACCUUGAUUUAACAGGAAGGAUACAUUUUGACGCUUGGCUUAGGAAGUUUCAUCAUUCACCCAAGGGAGUGUAGAAAUCUGGAAGCAAAAGGAUUUUCGUCUCAUCAAGUACAUUUUCAUCAUUCACCCAACGAAGUUUCAUCAGGUUAGCACCCAAGGGAGUGUAGAAAUCUGGAAGCAAAAGGAUUUUCGUCUCAUCAAGUACAUUUUCAUCAUUCACCCAACGAAGUUUCAUCAGGUUAGCACCCAAGGGAGUGUAGAAAUCUGGAAGCAAAAGGAUUUUCGUCUCAUCAAGUACAUUUUCAUCAUUCACCCAACGAAGUUUCAUCAGGUUAGCACCCAAGGGAGUGUAGAAAUCUGGAAGCAAAAGGAUUUUCGUCUCAUCAAGUACAUUUUCAUCAUUCACCCAACGAAGUUUCAUCAGGUUAGCUUUUAGAUUAGAAAGGAAUUCUUUAAGUGCUACACAAAUCCAUAAAAAAAGUAGUAGUAAUUUGUUGAGAGUAAGAUUUGAACCCAUGCCCGUUCGGACCAGAACCUUAAUCUGAUACCUUAGACUAACUCAGCCAUCUCAACUUUUUUGGUAUUCCCAACAGUCCUGUUAAAUUAUAUAUCAUUUUAAUGAAACACAUUAUACUUAUUUGCAUUUGUACUAUCACCAUCUAAGUUAACAUAAAAGAUGAUUCCAUUUGAUUAAAAACUUUUCACUUUUUCUCCAUCUCCACAUCUAAUAAUGUUCCUUGGGGAGAGGGUUCAAGUUAAGCAAUAUGAUUACCUUCCAUUAUUCUUUUGAGGUGUCAUAGGAUUGUGUCAUAUCUCUGCAUAUUUUUCUGUAAAACAUUUUACUUUUCAUUCAUUUUCACAUCUUCACAUCUUCCUCUUAUGUCUUUCAAAGAGAGAGUUUAGCUUAGUCAUAUGAUCGUCUUUAAUUACUCUUUUAAGGUAUCAAAUGCCCAAAAGAUAAUAAUACAUAAAGCUAAAAUAGUCUUAUUGUGCAACACUUUAAUGCGUCUUUUAUAAGUGUUACAUUGUAUUGUAUUAGAAAGAGGGUAAAAAUAUGGCACUCUCUAUUUGUCUUGUUCCAAAAAGAGGGAGGUAUUAGGCCGGAAAAGAUAUAGGAAAAGAAAAAGUAGGAGUUUAAGGACCUAUGAUAAUGAGAUUAUAAGUAAAUUGGUCAGA